rnacentral:rRNA from 1 species
UACAGAGGUCCCAAGCGUUGUUCGGAUUCACUGGGCGUAAAGGGUGCGUAGGUGGCAUGGUAAGUUUGAUGUGAAAUCUCCCGGGCUUAACCCGGAAAUGGCAUUGAAUACUACUGUGCUGGAGGUUUGGAGGGGGACUGGAAUUCUCGGUGUAGCAGUGAAAUGCGUAGAUAUCGAGAGGAACACCAGUGGCGAAGGCGAGUCCCUGGGACAACCACCUGACACUGAGGCACGAAAGCCUAGGGGAGCAAACAGG